AGUGAACGCUGGCGGUAGGCCUAACACAUGCAAGUCGAACGGCAGCACAGUAAGAGCUUGCUCUUACGGGUGGCGAGUGGCGGACGGGUGAGGAAUACAUCGGAAUCUACUUUUUCGUGGGGGAUAACGUAGGGAAACUUACGCUAAUACCGCAUACGACCUACGGGUGAAAGCAGGGGAUCUUCGGACCUUUCGCGAUUGAAUGAGCCGAUGUCGGAUUAGCUAGUUGGCUGGGUAAAGGCCCACCAAGGCGACGAUCCGUAGCUGGUCUGAGAGGAUGAUCAGCCACACUGGAACUGAGACACGGUCCAGACUCCUACGGGAGGCAGCAGUGGGGAAUAUUGGACAAUGGGCGCAAGCCUGAUCCAGCAAUACCGCGUGGGUGAAGAAGGCCUUCGGGUUGUAAAGCCCUUUUGUUGGGAAAGAAAAGCAGCAGGUUAAUACCCCGCUGUUCUGACGGUACCCAAAGAAUAAGCACCGGCUAACUUCGUG
rnacentral:rRNA from 1 species